UACGUAGGGGGCAAGCGUUGUUCGGAAUAACUGGGCGUAAAGGAUGCGUAGGCGGUUAAACAAGUUAUAUGUUAAAUAUAUAGGCUUAACCUGUAGAAAGCAUAUAAAACUGUUUAACUAGAGUGCAGGAGAGGUAAGUGGAAUUCCUAGUGUAGCGGUGAAAUGCGUAGAGAUUAGGAAGAACACCAGUGGCGAAGGCGACUUACUGGACUGUAACUGACGCUGAGGCAUGAGAGCAUGGGGAGCAAACAGG
rnacentral:rRNA from 1 species